UUGAAAGGGAAACGAUUGAAGUCAGUCGUACCUGCGGGUAAUCAGCCUUUUGGGCAUGAUUCUGUGGAGCGUGAGGAGUUAAACGCCUUCAUGCCUGCAUAUUCGUGUACAUUGGGUGUACUUGCCUGUGUGGUUAGUUAACAUCAAUUUUGGUUGUCAUAAAAUGGUUGGAGGAAUGUAGCUUCGAUUUCGGUUGAAGUGUUAUAGCCUUCGGCAGAUGUGAUGAUCGGGAUUGAGGAUUGCAACGGAUACCCUUCGGGGCUACCUGUCUGGUCUCUGAUCGUUGCUUUGGUGCCGAAAGCGUGCUUACGGUUAUCAAAGUCGAUGGUCAAUAGGUUAGAACGUGAUUACAUUCGUUAAGGAUGUUGACGUA
rnacentral:rRNA from 1 species